rnacentral:rRNA from 1 species
CGGCGAACGGCUCAGUAACACGUGGAUAAUCUGCCCACGGGUCGGGGAUAACCCCGGGAAACUGGGACUAAUACCCGAUAGGUCAUAUUUGCUGGAAUGCUCUUUGAUUUAAAACCUUGUGCCCGUGGAUGAGUCUGCGGCCGAUUAGGCUGUUGUUGGGGUAAUUGCCCAACAAACCUAUGAUCGGUACGGGUCGUGAGAGCGAUAGCCCGGAGAUGGGAUCUGAGACACGAUCCCAGGCCCUACGGGGCGCAGCAGGCGCGAAACCUUUACAAUGUGGGAAACCAUGAUAAGGGAACUCCCAGUGUCUCUACACAGUAGAGACUGUUCAGAUGUGUAAAAAGCAUCUGAUAGGAAGGGCCGGGUAAGACCGGUGCCAGCCGCCGCGGUAACACCGGUGGCCCGAGUGGUGGCCGCUUUUAUUGGGUCUAAAGCGUUCGUAGCCGGUUUGACAAGUCAUCUGGGAAAUUCGGCGGCUUAACCGUCGGGCGUCCAAAUGAUACUGUCAGACUUGGAACUGGGAGAGACUAGAGGUAUUCUUGGGGUAGGGGUGAAAUCCUGUGAUCCUGGGGAGACCGCCGGUGGCGAAGGCGUCUAGUUAGAACAGGUUCGACGGUGAGGAACGAAAGCUGGGGGCACAAACCGGAUUAGAUACCCGGGUAGUCCCAGCCGUAAACGAUGCCAGCUAUGUGUAAAGGAGAUCCACGUGUUCUUCCGGUGCCGUAGGGA